GGUGGAUCGAGAUACUGGAUCGGACUCUACCGAGAGGACUCUGCAGCAAAUCCAGUGUGGAUGAAUGUCAAUGGAAACAAGUCAGUGACCUCAGGCACCAUAACUGGGAGUGGGAGUGAAAACUGUUAUUCAUUGUAUAAAGGUGCAUCCUGGAUUGUUGAGGACCACAUCUGUAACAAUGCCCUGUGCUUUGUGUGUGAAAGAAACUUCUAUUAGUCCGAAGAACCACCUGUGUGAUGCUGUCACAACCUAGACCCAUGCUGCUAUUAACCUAGAACCCAACUGUGAUGCUGUAACAACCUAGACCCCUCUGCUAUUACCCAGAACCCAACUGUGGUGCUGCUAUUAACCUAGAACCCAACUGUGAUGCUGCUAUUAACCUAGAACCCAGCUGUGAUGCUGAUUUCUACCGGAAACCAUCUGUCUCAUUGUCUUGCUCAAUAAGUGUCGACUUAAUAGUGUUGUUUUAAUUCAGAAUUGAGUGUGUUGUCCCACGACUUAACUUAAUACUGUUUGUUUCAGUUCAUGAUUGAAUUCAGGGCUACAUUUUUUUUUUACUGCAACUACAAUAGUGUGUUUGAGUUUUUGUGUGUGUGUGUGUGAGUUUGUCUAAAGCCAACUGCAGUGUUGUGUUAAUUAUAAUAGUGUUUACACUGUGUGAUCGUUUCACUAGAGUUUUUAACAGUUUGAGUGUGUGUUUGUGUGUGUUUUAUUUCCAGUUAGUUACAGAGUGGCUCUCAUCCUAAGCUAUAUAUAAUCUCUGAUCCCUAUUUCACUAUAAUUUCAUUUUUAAAACGCGUCCCAUCACCCUGGUUUAUGACUAGGCCUAGUACUGUGUGACCUCUCCUUAAACAAAUGAACAGUUUUUUUCUAGUCAUAUAGAGUUGUCGUUACCUAGAAUUAAAUGUAUACCAUAUUUUAAAUCAAAUCUAAAGCAAUUGCGUGGUAUUGCCAAGCACUGGUUUGUUCCCAUGACAAGCAAAGGUUGUAGUAUAGGCCUACAUGUUCAGUUUUACAAGCUAUU